rnacentral:rRNA from 1 species
UACGUAGGGUGCGAGCGUUGUCCGGAAUUAUUGGGCGUAAAGAGCUUGUAGGCGGUUUGUCGCGUCUGCUGUGAAAUUUCGGGGCUCAACCCCGAACUUGCAGUGGGUACGGGCAGACUAGAGUGUGGUAGGGGAGACUGGAAUUCCUGGUGUAGCGGUGAAAUGCGCAGAUAUCAGGAGGAACACCGAUGGCGAAGGCAGCUCGCUGGGACGCAACUGACGCUGAGACGCGAAAGCGUGGGGAGCAAACAGGAUUGAGA